UGGUCAGAAAACUAAUUUGCAAACCACAAGUCUUGUAUCUGAUCCUGACAAGCUUUUUGGUUAUAUAUUUUUACCUGAAUACGAGGUGUCUUCUCUGUCAUUCAUAAAUGAUGAUACAGCCAUGCUCAGUUGGAAGCACGCCCAGGGUUGUCACAGUCCGUCUCGCAAUACCAAUAUAUUUAUUGCAUGUUUUACCACCGCCUAU